CGCCCCGGCCCGGCAGUGCCAGCAGCAGGUCGGCACCGCCAGCGCCACGCUUCUCGGGGGCCCUGGUGUUCCAUGGGGUACCAAUCCAAAGGGUUCGGCUCAACUGGGUACGCGACGGCCUCUCGGGCGCCUCCUGCAAGCAGGGACUCGCCCGGCGCGCCCCACGCCUCAUGGACGCCGGCGCCUGCACGUUUCGGCGCCUCUGCAGGCCCAGGAAGCCAGAGGGGUCACCUGGAGGCCUGGCCCCGCCUCUCCUGCACCCCUCCGUUUGACAACAUAUCCACCGCCGUUUUUCCUUUCAAAAUACCCGGACCAAUCGAUUAGCCCUCGCCGGACUCGGACUGCAGGAAGUGAUUGAUCGGCUGUUUGGUUUAUUGAUUCAUUAACUACGGUGCCUCCCUGACCUUCUGCUCCUCGCCAGCGCACAAGCUCACAAUCCACACCCUCCUAAGAGAACCUGCUCUCGCCAUCCGCAGGUCUCCCUGGCCCAAUAGUGGGGAUAUACCUGAGUUGAGCUAGAGGAUUUUAUCCCUGUUGGGAUGGGGGACGUCUCGGGAAGUGUGGUUUCUAAACUAAAAGACUGCAGGAAGUGUCAACUUUAGUGACUGUCAUUGCCAUUCAAGAAUGUUUGAUUAGUUUAUAUUCCCUUCGUAGUGCACCCUUCACCGUUUCUUCUCAGACACCAGCGGGUUUCUUCUCAGACACCAGCGGGUUCCCUCUUUCUCUUGAACUAUAAUAAUACCCUACACAUGUGCGUAGAACAUGAUACGUUUCAAAGUGUACUCUUCACAAUUUAUUACUUGGUGCUCCCGGGUGCCUGUUGGAAGUCAGAUGGACUGAGGUGAGGAAGUUGCCACACAGGCUGGCCGUUUCGAUAGCGGUAAUGUGCAUUUAUUGAGUAGCUACUAAGUGCUAGAUGUGCUUCCUGGGCACUUUAUAGACAUUGGUCUCCACUAUAUUUUUGCUAGGGGUGUUAUCCCAAUUUUUCAAAAGAGAAAAUAGGGCAAAGAUAGUUCUCACAGUGGUAGAACCAGAAUCCCCAUCCAGGUCCGUCUCACUGAAGACCUUAUGAAAUCAGACCACACCUGACUGCCUUGGGCUCAGGGUAGCUGUGAUGGAGCUCUGAGUAGACCACAGUCACCGAGACACUACUAGUUCUUGUAUCAUCCUUGACAAAAUUGAAAUCUGAGGUUGGUUUGCUAUCUCCCAACAUGCUGCAGGACAUGUACUCCCCUGAACUGCAUCCCUUUCAUUUCAAGUCCCUGCCCUCAGUUUAGGGUCACACCAGUCUUCCUUGUGGUACCAUUUAACACUCAAUUGUUUUCCCAAUAAGGGUCUGCAUGUCCCACACCCGAGGCCCUACUGCUCAGAAAAUAUUCGUGUUCUGAGGGAAGCUGAGUGCAUCAUUUACUCAGUGAUGAGAAGCCCUGGCUACCAGGCACUUCAGGCAGCUCCUUAGGGCUGCCUGUGUGUUUGAACUUGAGCUCUUCAUGUGCUAUUUCAACAUGUCUUAUCCAUUUCUGUAUAGACUAUAUGUAGUAAUAAUAGGACGCAGCACUCUGAUACUAAUUUUUAAAUGAUCAUAAUCUAACAUGUUACAGAAAUAUCAAAAAGAUAAUGGCACUGGAGUACUAGAUACUUAGGUACUUAAGAAAUAGCCUUUAAUCCCAAGGCCUUACUUAAAACUUAAGUUUAAACACAAUCUCUGAUGUGAUGAGUGGAAAUAAUUCUUUUGUGUUAAAACAUACAGACAAAACAAAGCUAUAUGGCCAGAAUAAUAACCGUUAUUGUAUCUUGUGGAACAAAAAAGGGCAUGGUGAUUGCUCUGUUCCUCAGGGAAACACAUUGAAUGUCUUGUUUUCAGACACCACAUCUGAUGCAUAUACAGAUGUAUGAUUGGAGUAGAUUAUUUCUAAUGCCCCUUAAGCUCUACUACUCAGAUUCUUUCCUUCUCCAGAGUAAUGGUAAUGGAUUUUAAGCUGUGAAAAAGCAGUUAAGGUCCCCUUCAGUUUAUGAAGUACUCCUGCAGUAGAAGUUCAUGGCCUUGAAAAAGCGUACUCAAAAUUACUCUAUUUCCACCUAGUGGUGAAACCGUAAUAUUUCUCUGAGGCUUUACUUGAUAAACGUGAGUAGUUUUUCAGCUUCUCAUUCUGUAAUCACACACAGCUUUGGAGCAUAUUGUGUCAUUUUUAUUUAAAGACAACUUCCCAGUUAAAGUUUAUGUACAUAGAUGUGCCUUCCACAAAGUUGAUUAUUGUAUAUUAGUUCUUCCUAAGGACAGUUAAGUGUUGGUGGCUUAGCAACAGGCAGUUGGUAGAGAAAUGGAGAGUACUACAUUAAAUUAUUGCAGAGAAUAUUCAAAGUAAUCCAUUUUCAGGGAACUGAGUCUUCUCUAAGUACAUGGCCAGAUGAUCAAAAAAGGAAAAAAAUUAAUCACUAAGGUUGGAGAAUAUGUUUAUUUAAACCUAGUGUCUCCCUUAAAUUUUAUAACUAGAUUUUUGACCCUCACUCAUCUGGCUUUCCUUGCUAUAGACAUGCUUUGCAUACCCAGCUUCUAGCCACAUCUUCCCUAAGAAAAUUUCACCUGGAAUCAGUUCCAAAAGAAAAUCUUAAGAGAUAGAGUAUGGAUCUGCAUGUUGUCAGCUACCUAAAGCAGCAAAAAUUCCUAGAUGAGAAUAAAAUCAGGGAACCUUGCAGUUUAAGGCACACCUUAAAUAUUAAAUUUUUAAUCCUUCAAUGCAUCCAGCCAAAACAAGAAAUUGCAAAUAGCUACCAUCCAUCAAUGCAAGGUUUUUUUGGUUUGUUUUUCAUAAUAAGAUUGGUUUUAAUUAAAGCACUUAUAAAGAUGGAGUUAUAUUUUGAACUUUGUCCUUUUACUUAAAGCAGUUAGAGUCUUACACAUCAUAACUGCCACGGCUAACCAUUAAAAUUUUCCAGCUCCUUAAAUGAUCCAUCAUAAACUUGUGCUUGCUGAGUUAACUGGACUAGAGGAUAGCUGGAGGGAAAAUGAGGCAUUGCAAAAGUUACAGUAAUAAAAAGUGAAUGGCUUCAAAAUAAGGCAGAGGACAUAAUGGCUCAUUUUAUAAUAAAAGCUUUCAGUAUAAAAUUCAUACAUUUCCCUUACUUAUAUAGAUCUUCCUACUUUCCAGACAUGUGUAUUAUUGUAUAUUACAUUUGUCAAUAGCUCAUGGCAACAGAUACACAUAGUUUGGGAUAACCCUUUUAUACCUCAUAUGAGCAGUGUUCAAAGGUUUAAAAGCACAACUCCAAAGGGCACAGCUUGAAAUGGAGCGGGAGGAUGCUAGCAAAGCCACCCCAAUAAACACAAAAUCUUAGUAAAAGCACUAUGUUUACCAGGCAAUGCAACUUCAAAACAAAUUCCUUAGCAACCCCAACCUCUUCAAGCCCGCUUCUAAUCACAUUAUUACUCCUAAGCCUCCUUAUAUACAAAAUCUUAGGCUGGCCAAGCCCAAACACACAGACACAUUAAUAAUGAGCAUCUCUGUCCUUAAAAAAUUUCAAACAUAAAAAACCUCCAAAUGAUAUGUUCCCACUGGAAGAGGCCAAAUUCUUUUCUUGUAGAUUACCCUUUUCUAUUUUUCAUUCCUACCUCCCAUGCAGUAUUCCUAGAUUCUCACACCAUUUGAUCAUUUCUCUAUUUUGAUAUUUAUCUAUAAGAAUUAAUGAUUUUUUUCAAGUCAAAUCUACAAAACCGUGGAUUUGCUUGCCUCUAAGCUAUUUAUCUCAGUGAGUCAGGCCCACUGCUUCCAUUUUUCUGGAUUAGCUUUGAAGAAGAAUCAUCAGCACUUAAUAACCUACCUAAAUCCGACUGAAGAUGCUUUCUUGAUCCUAUCUCUGGUCCUCCUACUUUGGCAGUGGGAAGAGCUACCCUAUAACUCCUCAGAGUCAUGCACAGAGCUGUAAAACCAGCAUGCAGCUGAUUUUGUGCACUUCUCUGAAGGACCCAAGCAGCAGGAUGGGUACCUUUUGUUCACCCACCCAUAGACACCACAGGACACUUUUUGUUCACCUGCUCACUUCUGCAUUGACCAAACUUAAAGAUACAGAUUCAACAGUAUGUAGGGGAAGUUUCCAGUAAAGUAUAUUCUGUUUUCUACAUUGGUUAAAUAUUGUAAUUUCAUGCGGGAACUGGGAGGCUAAGUAGUUGUUACCAUUAAGAAGAGCAACUGUGAUCUUACUUCCAGCCUAUUUUGGAAGGUGGGAUAAAAAAUAUUUGUGCCACAAAUCUCAAAUCUUGUCUCCUAUCUUACAACCUUGAAAUACAUAGUUAAUUCUGCAGGGUCUCAGACAUCCUACUGAGUUGCCAAAUAUUGAACACCAAGCUGGGCUUGUCAACACUCAGGGCUACAAAGAGGAGAUCUCAAAACUACCAUGGCCUCAGGAUUCUGAAUGUGGGUCUGAAAUCCCUACUUCUUACUUUGGAUUAAAAGCUCACCUGAGCUACACACAUCUGUUGUCCUAGAAUGGAUAUUUUUAUUUAGAUAUCAACCAAUUCAACUUCACUCCUUUAUUGAGUCAGUCAAGAAAUCAAUAAAAUUGACUUCAAAAAUUGAAAUCACUUCUUAAUUCUCCUCUGGUUUUCUUCCUACCCUGCCCUUUCUUCUUCACACUCAAUAUAGUUUUACCCAUCUGAAUGAGGAAUAAGUCUGACUUGUCUUUGAAACAUUUGCUUUAUUUCAUAACUGCCACACGCUGGGCCUAAAGUGUAUGUACCUGGAUCUGAAGACAACAAAAUACCUAGAGGAUCUGCUCUGUGGGUGGGACACGGCAGCUAGAGCUGUGGAGGUCAGGCUUGAAUUCCAG
rnacentral:lncRNA from 10 species